UCAUUGGCUUGAGAUGGAGGACUCAGAGUUUCAUGUAUACCUUCUAUGCAUGGUUUAUCCUUAUUACUAUAUGGUGUCCAUUCUGGUAGCUCUGCCUGGAAAUCUGGUCCAAUGGGGACCAUCUUUUGAGCAUUACUCAAAAGAGAAGAAUAUAUCUCCCUGUGAUGAGCAGCAGCCCUGAACGGAUGAUCAAAAUAGUAAUAUUCAGGAGACGUCGAUAAGUGAAAAGGAGCCUCAGG